rnacentral:piRNA from 1 species
UCAGAACAUAGUCGUCGUCGUCUUCUGGG